CAGGUGGGACCCUCCAACUGAAGCGUGUGGCAUUUCAACAGCGUACUCUGCGACCAUGUACUCAUCUUUUACUUUAGUGCUGGAGGAGUAGAGAGGCAGCAUCGGUGGCUACCUGCUCUAGACUUCCACAAAACUGGGCCUAUUAACACCCAGUCCAGAAUGGGGAGAGCUCCUAAGGCCUACCACUCUUUGAGGACCUACAGGCCCUUAAUGGCUAUGUGUGGGAGGAGUCACCAGUGCUGUAGUUACUGGGGAGAUACGACUGGACUUCAUUUUAUGCUCAUGCAAAAAGGUCCCAACACCUGGCUCCUGCUGGUGUCCACUGCAUACCAUACCUUGCCUGGUUCACGUGACUGAACUUCGAGCAUGGCUCUGGCCUAUUAACAUGAAAGCCCAGGCUGGUGGUUUUUACCAGGUCAAGACAAGGGCUGCCACUGGCCUGGCACUGGGCUGGUUGACUGGCUGCUAGAGGUCUUGGGAUAUUCUGCCAAGUGCUCAGAGGAAUGCAGCACUCAGGCCAUGACUGUGAGUUGGACUCCCCAAAGAAGAAUGAGGCCCCUCUACCAGGCCGGGGUAGCACCUUGCAGACACGAGGUGUUGGAUCCAGCACUUUGCCCUCCAACAAGUGUUCCUAACCAUCGAGCCAUCUCUCUAAACCCUGUAUGCAAUUUUCAUGGUUGGACACAACUCUAAAUGUGUUUCCACAAGUGCUUAUAUUCAUAAAAUGAAAACCAACAAAAAGGAACAAAUUACCAAUUCAUCAAAAACUCUCCAAUUUACUGUGCUGAGAAGUCAAGUUUAAGACCAAACAUCAUAUAGUUUCACUUAAAUAUUCUGGAAGAAGCAGCACGAGAGACAGAAAAUAUACCACCUAUCAAAUGGGACGGAAGAAUUUUGAACAGAACUUCUCCAUCAACAUAGAGUAUGUUUACAAAGAGAUAUGUGCUUUUCAAAAGAGUUGGACAAUUCACACUGAAAGUGGCAAUGUAGUUUGCUCUAUAAAUCUUGUUAAGUAUGAGCUCAAUAUAUUUCUCCUCCUAAAAUUAAAAAAAAGGUCUGCAUUGGCUGGGCAUGAUGUUAUACACCUUUAGUCCCAGGCAGAGGCAGGAGGAUCUCUGAGUUGGAGACCAGUCUAGUCUAAAAGUGAAUUCUAGGACAGCCAGGGUUACACAGAGUAACUGUGUCUCAAAAACAAACAAACAAAAACCAAAUGAAUGAAUGAUAAAAAGGUAUUUUUCUAUCCAUACCUAUACAAAUCACUGAAAAUCCUCAGAUGUCUUAUAAAA